rnacentral:rRNA from 1 species
UCGGGACCUAAGCCGAGGCCGAAAGGCGUAGGUGAUGGACAACAGGUUGAUAUUCCUGUACCACCAAUAACCGUUUGAGGAAUGGGAUGACACAGUAGGAUAAGCUAACCACACUGUUGGUUAUGUGUGGCUAAGUACUGAGGCAGUCAAGAUAGGCAAAUCCGUCUUGAUAAUGCUAGGGUACGAUGGGGAGCUCUUUAGAGCGAAGUAGCUGAUUUCACACUGUCGAGAAAAGUCUCUACCGAGGUUAAAGGUGCCCGUACCGUAAACCGACACAGGUGGGUGAGGAGAGUAUCCUAAGGCCAGCGAGAGAACUAUUGUUAAGGAACUCGGCAAAAUGACCCCGUAACUUAGGGAUAAGGGGUGCCAUCCUUUGGAUGGCCGCAGAGAAUAGGCCCAAGCGACUGUUUACCAAAAACACAGGUUUCUGCUAAGUCGCAAGACGAUGUAUAGGAGCUGACGCCUGCCCGGUGCUGGAAGGUUAAGGGGAUCUGUUAGGAGUAAUCCGAAGCAGUGAACUUAAGCCCCAGUAAACGGCGGCCGUAACUAUAACGGUCCUAAGGUAGCGAAAUUCCUUGUCGGGUAAGUUCCGACCCGCACGAAAGGCGUAACGAUUUGGGCACUGUCUCAACAAUAGACUCGGUGAAAUUGUAAUCCCGGUGAAGAUGCCGGGUACCUGCGACAGGACGGAAAGACCCCAUGGAGCUUUACUGUAGCUUGACGUUGGGUCUUGGUACUACAUGUACAGGAUAGGUGGGAGACUAUGAAGCAUGGACGCCAGUCUGUGUGGAGUCAUCCUUGGGAUACCACCCUUGUAGUACUGGGAUCCUAACCAGAGGCCUUGAAUCAGGUCUUGGGACACCGUCAGGUGGGCAGUUUGACUGGGGCGGUCGCCUCCCAAAAAGUAACGGAGGCGCUCAAAGGUUUCCUCAGCACGGUCGGAAAUCGUGCGAAGAGUGUAAAGGCAAAAGGAAGCUUGAUUGCAAGACAUACAGGUCGAGCAAGGACGAAAGUCGGACUUAGUGAUCCGGUGGUUCCGCAUGGAAGGGCCAUCGCUCAACGGAUAAAAGCUACCCUGGGGAUAACAGGCUUAUCUCCCCCAAGAGUCCACAUCGACGGGGAGGUUUGGCACCUCGAUGUCGGCUCAUCACAUCCUGGGGCUGUAGUAGGUCCCAAGGGUUGGGCUGUUCGCCCAUUAAAGUGGUACGCGAGCUGGGUUCAGAACGUCGUGAGACAGUUCGGUCCCUAUCCGUCGCAGGCGUAGGAAAUUUGAGGAGACCUGUCCUUAGUACGAGAGGACCGGGAUGGACGUACCUCUGGUGUACCAGUUGUUCUGCCAAGGGCAUGGCUGGGUAGCUAUGUACGGAAUGGAUAAGCGCUGAAAGCAUCUAAGCGCGAAGCCAACUUCAAGAUAAGAUUUCCCACCGUAAGGGUAAGACCCCAGGAAGACUACCUGGUUGAUAGGUCGAAGGUGUAAGUGCAGUAAUGUAUUUAGCUUAUCGAUACUAAUAGGUCGAGGACUUGACCU